GUGGGUAUAGCUCAGCUAUAGAGCACAUAUGUAGCAUGCAUGAGGUCCCGGGUUCAAUCCCUGGUACCUCCA
rnacentral:tRNA from 1 species